CAUUAAAUGAAUUAAUAAUAAUUUCAAUAACUUAUAACAAUAACUUGUUUCACUAGUAAGUUGCUGUUAAACGACAAAAACAAUCACCAGAUU